rnacentral:lncRNA from 1 species
CUGUCAUGAGUCCCGACUGAAUUAGGAUUAAGGUGAACUCGUCAAACCCAACAUCAGUCAUAUGAGUUAAUCAAUCGAUCCGAGUCCGAUGUGAAAUCUUAAUGGAAAAUUUUUUUUCAUUAUUUCACUUUGCCAUGGUCAUGAGCUUAAGGACUCGAUCUUUCAAUUAUCAUAGGACUACUCUCAUCUACCGAGGUUGAUAGAUCCCAUCUUGGUGCGACCUAGUUCCUACAAUGAAUAUGCUACAGCCAACAU